AAGAAAUCAUCGUGUAGAAAGGAAGAAAUAUAAAACACAAAAAAAUGCUUAAAAGUAUCGUUCUUGCAGUAUCAUUUUUUUUUAU
rnacentral:ribozyme from 14 species